GAUCCUGGCUCAGGAUGAACGCUAGCGACAGGCUUAACACACGCAAGUCGAGGGGCAGCGGGGUGUAGCAAUACACCGCCGGCGACCGGCGCACGGGUGAGUAACGCGUAUGCAACUUGCCUAUCAGAGGGGGAUAACCCGGCGAAAGUCGGGACUAAUACCGCAUGAAGCAGGGAUCCCGCAUGGGAAUAUUUGCUAAAGAUUCAUCGCUGAUAGAUAGGCAUGCGUUCCAUUAGG
rnacentral:rRNA from 1 species